rnacentral:tRNA from 1 species
GCGCCCGUAGCUCAACUGGAUAGAGCACGCUGCUGACUACGGCGGAGAUGAGGGUUCGAAUCCCUUCGGGCGCG